CCAACGGCCCUCUUUAGGGCCACAAUUCAAUUCCAAACCAAGUUG
rfam:Pristionchus pacificus strain PS312 contig8968, whole genome shotgun sequence.